rnacentral:rRNA from 1 species
UCCUACGGGGCGCAGCAGUGAGGAAUAUUGGUCAAUGGGCGGAAGCCUGAACCAGCCAAGUCGCGUGAGGGAAUAAGGCCCUACGGGUCGUAAACCUCUUUUGCCGGGGAGCAAGGGCGGGGACGUGUCCCGGCCCGGAGAGUACCCGGAGAAAAAGCAUCGGCUAACUCCGUGCCAGCAGCCGCGGUAAUACGGAGGAUGCGAGCGUUAUCCGGAUUUAUUGGGUUUAAAGGGUGCGUAGGCGGGCUUUUAAGUCAGCGGUAAAAAUUCGGGGCUCAACCCCGGCCCGCCGUCGAAACUGGCAG